UUCCAUAAAGGAUAGUAUUACCUUUAUGGAAGCAAUGUAGCAGUAGCA
rnacentral:ncRNA from 1 species